CACCGCGGUUAAACGAGAGGCCCCAGUUGAUAACACCACGGCGUAAAGGGUGGUUAAGGGAGCAACAUAAUAAAGCCGAAUGGCCCUUUGGCCGUCAUACGCUUCUAGGUGUCCGAAGCCCAGUUACACGAAAGUAGCUUUAGUAAAGCCCACCUGACCCCACGAAAGCUGAGAAA
rnacentral:rRNA from 1 species